GAUGAACGCUGGCGGCGUGCUUAACACAUGCAAGUCGAACGAAGCACCUCUCCCGAAGCUUGACACAGCUUGCUGUAGAUUGAUUCAUUUGAGGUGACUGAGUGGCGGACGGGUGAGUAACGCGUGGGUAACCUGCCUCAUAGAGGGGGACAACAGUUGGAAACGACUGCUAAUACCGCAUAGUAAGAAGAAUUCGCAUGUUUUCUUCUUGAAAGAUUUAUCGCUAUGAGAUGGACCCGCGUCUGAUUAGCUAGUUGGUAAGGUAACGGCUUACCAAGGCGACGAUCAGUAGCCGGCUUGAGAGAGUGAACGGCCACAUUGGGACUGAGACACGGCCCAAACUCCUACGGGAGGCAGCAGUGGGGAAUAUUGCACAAUGGGGGAAACCCUGAUGCAGCGACGCCGCGUGAGUGAAGAAGUAUUUCGGUAUGUAAAGCUCUAUCAGCAGGGAAGAUAAUGACGGUACCUGACUAAGAAGCCCCGGCUAACUACGU
rnacentral:rRNA from 1 species